UACGUAGGGUGCGAGCGUUAAUCGGAAUUACUGGGCGUAAAGGGUGCGCAGGUGGGUUUGCAAGUUCGAUGUGAAAGCCCCGGGCUUAACCCGGGAAUGGCAUUGGAUACUGCAGAUCUGGAGGAUCGGAGGGGGGACUGGAAUUCCUGGUGUAGCAGUGAAAUGCGUAGAUAUCAAGAGGAACACCAGUGGCGAAGGCGAGUCCCUGGACGAUACCUGACACUGAGGCACGAAAGCUAGGGGAGCAAACAGG
rnacentral:rRNA from 1 species